AAUGCAAGUGUUUAACAGAUGCUUCACUAUUAAAAUAUUUUUUCCCCCAAGUCUCAAAUAUUGAAGAAUCUCUAACCAGGCUCCAAACGCCAGUCUCAGUGGCUAUUGAGUUACCCACCAAGUUACCCCGGUUAGAGCUGUUUGUGGUGGCUCACGUUAUUGCGGCAAACUUUGGAGAUGACCGCUGGGUCCUCCGGGCGAACGGUCAAGCCGAUUGUAAAUGCUGUUAUUUCCAUAUCCUUCAGGGACACCAGCCCCAACGAAGACCUUGGGCGAUUUCAAAGUGCGGGCACCUCGAUUCCCCGAAUCUGUGGUGUGGCUGGUGUCGGUGUUUCCCUGGUUUAACUAGCCUCCUUGUAGAAGUGACUCUGACCGUUCCCUUAAGAAUCUUUAAUGCUCUUACAUGAUAUGAGCCUCAGAACAUGCUAAGAACCCUCUGAAAGAACAUCAAGCCUGGAAGGUGACAGAAGGAGCAAUGUAUUCUUGAAGAUGUCACCUCAGCCCACCUGCUCCAAGGACAGUGCUUCUUGCAACACUCUGAUGGCUCUGCGUUCUUUUCCAUACCAGGGUAGGGUGGAGUCAUUUUACAUGUUAUCCACUUAGUCCCAGGAUGUUUAGGACACCCAGAACAAUGCAUAUUGUCUGAGUGGUGGCAAGGGUCUCCCUCUAGCUGGGGCUGUGUAGUCCUUGUUUGCAUAGUUCUUCUUGUGUAGUCUUUUCUUUUUGGCCUUUGAGAAAUAGUUGUCUACAGACAUAGCAAGUGAAAGUGGCUCCAGAAGUAUGGUGCUGCUCAAAGUACACAUCUGCAAAACAGAACCAAAUUCUGUUGGAUUUGAGUGU